rnacentral:lncRNA from 1 species
UGUUUUUUAUUACAACGCUAUUCACCCCCCCUCUAGCGUUAAGCGUAUAUUCUAACAAAACCAAACCACUGUUGCACUCUUUAAUAGAGUAACAGAUCAAGUUUUCUCUCAAAGAAGUUCCAUGAAGUCAGUCUAAUCCUGGAAACGUUCUACUUAAGUCAUCACAAAGGGUAUGGAAAUUAGCAAAUUAAGCUGACAAACAGGAACAUAAACAUCAUGAUCUCUAAGACCCACACCUAGUAGCCCCAACAAAAACAUAUUAUAACAUCUAGAUCCACAAUUGAGCGACGCAUUUUUAAGGCUAAAAGGCUACCCGCCCUAGAAAUCAAGUAUCAUACAGGUCCCACCAUAAACCAAACUGCUGACGAUCUCUUGAGACUGCUUAUGGAAGGACAACAAGAACCUACAACCAGAUUUUCCUCAAUCAGUGUUAUCAAAGGCGCGCUUAAGCUCUUAUGAGAGACAACACAAAACAUGUUGAGUGCUUCUCGCCGUUUAGUAGGCGCUCAGUGUCGUCAUCAAGGCGCUAAGGCAUAUAUUUUCUUGCCAAUGAGCAUAAUCUUGAAGAGGCGACGCUAAACAAUUGAUAUUUCACUUUAUCAUAAUUGUUUGCUAUUUCUUUGUCCAUAUAUUUGUUAUUUCAUAUAACUAUUAGUCUUGAACUACACAGUACACAUACAUGUUUGUUUGUUUUCCUCCAUUUUUGCCUUUCUUUAUCAAAGCCCACGCUUUAUUUGCGCUUUUCACUCAAAGCCCCGGCAGCUCUUCGAGCUUUUUUGCGCUUUUCGCCUUCGAUAACACUGCCUCUAUCGGGAACCAUAGGGGGCUUAUUUGAAAGGUCAAGUCUUAGCAUAUAUAAAUCCAUGUACUUCUAAACAUCGGUUAAGGGUCAAAUA